UACGGGGGGAGCAAGCGUUGUUCGGAUUUACUGGGCGUAAAGGGCGCGUAGGCGGCAUGACAAGUCACUUGUGAAAUCUCCGGGCUUAACUCGGAACGGUCAAGUGAUACUGUCGCGCUAGAGUGCGGAAGGGGCAAUCAGAAUUCUUGGUGUAGCGGUGAAAUGCGUAGAUAUCAGGAGGAACACCGGUGGCGAAGGCGGCUUGCUGGGCCAGUUCUGACGCUGAGGAGCGAAAGCGUGGGGAGCGAACAGG
rnacentral:rRNA from 1 species